rnacentral:rRNA from 1 species
AUACCCGCAGCCCAAGUGGUGGUCGAUUUUAUUGAGUCUAAAACGUUCGUAGCCGGUUCAUUAAAUCCUUGGGUAAAUCGGAUGGCUUAACUAUCCGAAUUCCGGGGAGACUGGUGAACUUGGGACCGGGAGAGGCAAGAGGUACUUUUGGGGUAGGGGUAAAAUCCUGUAAUCCUAAAAGGACCACCGGUGGCGAAGGCGUCUUGCUAGAACGGAUCCGACGGUGAGGGACGAAGCCCUGGGUCGCAAACGGGAUUAGAUACCCCGGUAGUCCAGGGUGUAAACGCUGCAGACUUGGUGUUGGGGACCCUUCGGGGGUGUUCAGUGCCGGAGAGAAGUUGUUAAGUCUGCUACUUGGGGAGUACGUCCGCAAAGAUGAAACUUAAAGGAAUUGACGGGG